rnacentral:lncRNA from 1 species
GAGUCCGUCGACGAUCCGCUGCGAGUAAAACGAACGUCACAGGGAGGAGACCGCGACCUUGGCCUACCCCUAAGCCUCACCUACAACGAACAAUGAUCCAAACCAGCCCCACGUGACACAGAAACUCACACGCACGAAUUUUGGAAUUUUCUUCGGUGGUUGGACGAAAAGAAUCUCGUUUUAAACUUCUGACGCAUCACAGAAGUAUCUGAUUGUGAGUAAAAUCUAUUUUAUGUGUUCAAUAUUAGAUAGUUUUUGUUGCGUUACUUACAAGAAAA